AGGCCCCACGGAACGCUUCCCACAGAACAUCAUUCUUCCUUCUCUUCCUCCUGUGUCUCUAGGGCUGCUUCGUAAUAAGACGGAUGCACUGAAUACAGGCAUUUGUGAUUCUCAGCCGCCAAAAAGUCCCAGCCUGAGCUGGGGGUGGAGAAGAUGAAUCAGAGCCAAGGCACAGCUGGGCUGCCAGGUGUCCAGGACUGACAGCUGCCGCCUGGGGUUUGCCUGGUGGUGGUCCCAAAGGCAGUCUGGUGUGCAGAGUCUUCGUGGUGCGGCUUGGAUGUUCCGUGUCUGUGGUGCCCAUCGGUUCAGUUCUCAAAGGGCCAGGUCACCAGGAUAAGGUUUCUGUUUUCCUGUGGGGAUUGCCUGAAGUCUCUGCUUUAUGCUACAGGCUGGAAUUUGUGUCUUCAACAAAGG